rnacentral:lncRNA from 1 species
CGACAGGUCACAUAGAAUCUUAGCUUAGCAGUGUUUGAUGAGUUGUAAAACUGCAUGUUUUGUGGCUUGAAACGAAAAAAUUAAACUCAAUUACAACGGUCGCCAAUCUUUCAUGAGCUCUUUUUAUCUAUCAUCACUACAAAAAAUCAUGUAUUUCCCGGCAGAAUUUUAGAGGCGGUUGUAUCAACCGCCUCUACAAAAUUGGUACUUGUAAUAUAGAGAUACUAUUAGGGGCGGUUUUUAAAACCGCCUNGCAUCUAUUGUAGACACGUAAUUUUUACGAAAUUUGCUGACGUACGGAGUAUGUGAUAUAUGUAUUUUUU